UGGGGAAUAUUGCACAAUGGGGGGAAACCCUGAUGCAGCAACGCCGCGUGAAGGAAGACGGUUUUCGGAUUGUAAACUUCUUUUCUUAGUGAAGAAACAAAUGACGGUAGCUAAGGAAUAAGCAUCGGCUAACUACGUGCCAGCAGCCGCGGUAAUACGUAGGAUGCGAGCGUUAUCCGGAAUUACUGGGUGUAAAGGGAGCGCAGGCGGGACUGCAAGUUGGAUGUGAAAUGCCGCAGCUUAACUGCGGAGCUGCAUCCAAACUGUAGUUCUUGAGUGGAGUAGAGGCAAGCGGAAUUCCGAGUGUAGCGGUGAAAUGCGUAGAUAUUCGGAGGAACACCAGUGGCGAAGGCGGCUUGCUGGGCUCUAACUGACGCUGAGGCUCGAAAGUGUGGGGAGCAAACGGGAUUAGAUACC
rnacentral:rRNA from 1 species